GCUUUCGUAGUGUAAUGGUCAGCACGCUCGACGCGUAACCGAGAGGUCCGUGGUUCGAUUCCAGCUAAGGCG
rnacentral:tRNA from 1 species